rnacentral:rRNA from 1 species
UACGUAGGGACCAAGCGUUGUUCGGAUUUACUGGGCGUAAAGGGCGCGUAGGCGGCGUGACAAGUCACUUGUGAAAUCUCCGGGCUUAACUCGGAACGGCCAAGUGAUACUGUCGUGCUAGAGUGCAGAAGGGGCAAUCGGAAUUCUUGGUGUAGCGGUGAAAUGCGUAGAUAUCAAGAGGAACACCUGAGGUGAAGACGGGUUGCUGGGCUGACACUGAGGGACGAAAGCUAGGGGAGCGAAUGGG